rnacentral:rRNA from 1 species
GACGAACGCUGGCGGCGUGCCUAAUACAUGCAAGUCGAACGCUUCUUUUUCCACCGGAGCUUGCUCCACCGGAAAAAGAGGAGUGGCGAACGGGUGAGUAACACGUGGGUAACCUGCCCAUCAGAAGGGGAUAACACUUGGAAACAGGUGCUAAUACCGUAUAACAAUCAAAACCGCAUGGUUUUGAUUUGAAAGGCGCUUUCGGGUGUCGCUGAUGGAUGGACCCGCGGUGCAUUAGCUAGUUGGUGAGGUAACGGCUCACCAAGGCCACGAUGCAUAGCCGACCUGAGAGGGUGAUCGGCCACAUUGGGACUGAGACACGGCCCAAACUCCUACGGGAGGCAGCAGUAGGGAAUCUUCGGCAAUGGACGAAAGUCUGACCGAGCAACGCCGCGUGAGUGAAGAAGGUUUUCGGAUCGUAAAACUCUGUUGUUAGAGAAGAACAAGGAUGAGAGUAACUGUUCAUCCCUUGACGGUAUCUAACCAGAAAGCCACGGCUAACUACGUGCCAGCAGCCGCGGUAAUACGUAGGUGGCAAGCGUUGUCCGGAUUUAUUGGGCGUAAAGCGAGCGCAGGCGGUUUCUUAAGUCUGAUGUGAAAGCCCCCGGCUCAACCGGGGAGGGUCAUUGGAAACUGGGAGACUUGAGUGCAGAAGAGGAGAGUGGAAUUCCAUGUGUAGCGGUGAAAUGCGUAGAUAUAUGGAGGAACACCAGUGGCGAA